rnacentral:tRNA from 1 species
UAGAUUGAAGCCAGUGUAUUAGGGUAUUUAGCUGUUAACUAAAAUUUCGUGGGUUAAUACCCACCAGUCUAG